rnacentral:rRNA from 1 species
AACGAACGCUGGCGGCAUGCCUAACACAUGCCAGUCGAACGAGACCUUCGGGUCUAGUGGCGCACGGGUGCGUAACGCGUGGGAACCUGCCCUUAGGUUCGGAAUAACUCCCCGAAAGGGGUGCUAAUACCGGAUAAUGUCUUCGGACCAAAGAUUUAUCGCCUUGGGAUGGGCCCGCGUUGGAUUAGCUAGUUGGUAGGGUAAAAGCCUACCAAGGCGACGAUCCAUAGCUGGUCUGAGAGGAUGAUCAGCCACACUGGGACUGAGACACGGCCCAGACUCCGACGGGAGGCAGCAGUGGGGAAUAUGGGACAAUGGGCGAAAGCCUGAUCCAGCAAGGCCGCGUGAGUGAUGAAGGCCUUAGGGUUGUAAAGCUCUUUUACCCGGGAUGAUAAUGACGGUACCGGGAGAAUAAGCUCCGGCGAACUCCGU